rnacentral:rRNA from 1 species
UAAAAGUCGUAACAAGGUUUCCGUAGGUGAACCUGCGGAAGGAUCAUUACCGUUUGUCUUUUGACUAACACCACUGUGAACUGUUCUAAGCAAGUGGGGUAACCUCUCGGUUUUAAAUGUGCUACUCUGUAGUGCUGCCCCAUUUGUGCAACCAAUUUGUGUAUUUUUACGCACUUGUUUUCUCAUGUAUUGGAAUCUCACGAUUUCAAUGAAUCUAAACGUGACAACUUCUAACGGUGGAUCUCUUGGCUCGUGCAUCGAUGAAGAACGUAGCCAGUUGCGAUAAGUAGUGUGAAUUGCAGAAUUCAGUGAAUCAUCGAAUCUUUGAACGCAAAUUGCGCUUUCCGGAUAUCCGGGGAGCAUGCCUGUCUGAGCGUCGUUUAAUAAUCUACACACCUCGGUGUGGGUAGGGAGUUCAUGUGACCUGUUUCAGGACGCCUGUCUCUCGAUGUGUCUGAACCUUGCUCGUACUUGCUUAUGUACUUGCUAGGAAGGCUCAACUUGCUUCUGUCCUUCUAAAGCUUCGUACUUGCUUGUUAAGCUUGUGUUCUCUGAGUUCUCUUCACGAGUUCUCGCUCACAAUUUUGACCUCAGAUCAGACAAGACUACCCGCUGAAUUUAAGCAUAUCAAUAAGCG